rnacentral:sRNA from 1 species
AGGUUUGGGGUGGGGCCAGCCCCAAGGACCCGGCCUGGGUGCAGGCAGCCCAGCGUCCCCACCCCAGCCCCUGCUCACCUGUUCCGGGGUCGCCCCGCAGAUCUUCAACUUGAUGAAGUUCGACAGCUAUGCGCGCUUCGUCAAGUCCCCGCUGUACCGCGAGUGCCUGCUAGCCGAAGCCGAGGGGCGCCCUCUGCGGGAACCUGGCUCCUCGCGCCUCGGCAGCCCUGACGCCACGAGGAAGGUGCAUGGGACUGGGCGAGGGACUGGGCGAGGCGGGGGGUCCUGCGGACCGCGUGCAAGAGGGGACGCCCCCGGGUGCAUAUCUGCGGGUCUGUGCCCACGGUCUGCAUGCGGGCUGGGGCCCAGCCCGGUGCCAGCGCCUCCCCUGUACCCACAGAAGCCGAAGCUGAAGCCCGGGAAGUCGCUGCCGCUGGGUGUGGAGGAGUUGGGGCAGCUGCCACCCGUUGAGGGUCCUGGAGGCCGCCCUCUCCGCAAGUCCUUCCGCAGGGGUGAGGGCAGGAGCGAGCAACAGAGAUGUGGGGAAGGCGGGAGUUUGGGCAAGUUUGGGGAGUGCCCCCUUCGUCCUACGUGGCCCACAGUCUGUAAGGCUGUGAAAAUUGAAACGCAGGUCCCAGUGACCACCACACUCCCCUGGGUGGUUCGGGUCUUGAGCUAGACGACAGACGUUUGGAAAUCUCCAACGGUGGUGUCGCUCCCAGGGGUUUACACCUGGGCCCCUGCAGGAUGGCUCCAAACAAGGCCCACCAGUGGGGAACAGGCUUCCGCAGAGGAUGGGUGAGGGCGGGGGGCUGUUCGCGUUCAUCGCUCCCUCUUCACUAGAGCUGGGCGGGACUGCAAACGCCGCCUUGCGCCGAGAGUCUCAGGGCUCCCUCAACUCCUCCGCCAGCUUGGACCUUGGCUUCCUAGCCUUUGUCAGCAGCAAAUCUGAGAGCCACCGGAAGAGCCUUGGGAGCACGGAGGGUGAAAGUGAAAGCCGGCCAGGCAAGUACUGCUGUGUGUACCUGCCCGAUGGCACAGCCUCCUUGGCCCUGGCCAGACCUGGCCUCACCAUCCGAGACAUGCUGGCAGGGAUCUGUGAGAAACGAGGCCUCUCUCUACCUGACAUCAAGGUCUACCUGGUGGGCAAUGAACAGAAGGCCCUGGUCCUGGAUCAGGACUGCACCGUGCUGGCGGAUCAGGAAGUGCGGCUGGAAAACAGGAUCACCUUCGAGCUCGAGCUGACGGCGCUGGAGCGCGUGGUACGAAUCUCAGCCAAGCCCACCAAGCGGCUGCAGGAGGCGCUGCAGCCCAUUCUGGAGAAGCACGGCUUGAGCCCGCUAGAGGUGGCGCUGCACCGGCCAGGCGAGAAGCAGCCUCUGGAUCUGGGGACGCUAGUGAGCUCGGUGGCGGCCCAGAGACUGGUUUUGGACACUCUUCCAGGUGUGAAGAUCUCCAAAGCCCGUGACAAAUCUCCCUGCCGCAGCCAGGUGAGCAAAAGGCGAGUGGCCUCUUCCACCCUCUGCUUCUCCCCUCCCGAUUUUGGCUCUGACCCCACAUUCUCGCAGGGCUGCCCACCUAGAACUCAGGACAAGGCCACCCAUCCCCCUCCAGCGUCCCCCAGUUCUCUGGUGAAGGUGCCCAGUAGUGCUACUGGAAAGCGGCAGACCUGUGACAUCGAAGGCCUGGUAGAGCUGCUGAACCGGGUGCAGAGCAGCGGGGCCCACGACCAGAGGGGCCUUCUGAGGAAAGAGGACCUGGUACUUCCAGAAUUUCUGCAGCUGCCUACCCAAGGGCCCAGCUCCCAGGAGACCCCACCACAGACUGAAUCAGCAGCCCAGCCCAUCGGGGGAUCCUUGAACUCCACCACCGACUCAGCCCUCUGACAGCUACCCAGCAGUCCAGGACAGCUGCAUGGCACCCGGCGGGCCGAGCAUGCCAUGGGUCCGCUCUGCAUGCCCUGUCUGUGCCAUGAGUGUCCCUGGCCCCUUCCUGCCAUGGGCAGGCCCGCAGGAAGAGCCGGUAGGGGUGGAGAGGGGACUCAGAUGAGACACACCCCACAGCUGCCACUGCCUUGUCCCUCAACAAGCUCACCCCCAAUCCCUUGCAGCCAGGCCACAGUCGGGGAGGUGGGUCCAGCCCCUUGGAACAGGCUUGCCCAACACGGAGGGAUGGCGUUGGCAGUGCCAGCCUCCCCAGCCUGUGCCAAGCUUCAACAGGGGCAAGAGGAGGGGCCGGCCCCUCCUCAGGGAGCUGGUAUGAGUAAGGCCUGAGGGUGCAGGCGGGCAGCCCUGUACCCUACCCACAUAGACUAUACUGUACAUACAGAUUUUGCAGUAGGCUUGGGGCAGCUGGGUUUGUCCUUGAUGUAUGAUACUGUUAUUAUAAUAAUUAUUAUUAUUCUGC